CCUACGGGUGGCAGCAGUGGGGGAUAUUGCACAAUGGGGGGAACCCUGAUGCAGCGACGCCGCGUGGGUGAAGGAGCGUUUCGGCGCGUAAAGCCCUAUCGGCAGGGAAGAAGAUGACGGUAACUGACCAAGAAGCCCCGGCGAACUACGCGCCAGCAGCCGCGGGAAUACGUAGGGGGCAAGCGUUAUCCGGAUUUACUGGGUGUAAAGGGGGCGCAGACGGCAAUGCAAGCCAGGAGUGAAAGCCCGGGGCUCAACCCCGGGACUGCGCUUGGAACUGCAUGGCGGGAGUAAAGGAGGGGCAGGCGGAAUUCCUAGUGUAGCGGUGAAAUGCGUAGAUAUUAGGAGGAACACCGGUGGCGAAGGCGGCCUGCUGGACUGUGACUGACGUUGAGGCCCGAAGGCGUGGGGAGCAAACAGGAUUAGAUACCCCUGUAGUC
rnacentral:rRNA from 1 species